UAAGAUGGUGACUGCUCUUUGUCUAGAGAAUAUUGCAUUCUUCUUUAUAAUUUGAACAGCCAGUGACUUGUGGCAGAUCCACUGAGAUGCCUCAUCAUUUGGACUAGAUUGAUUGGAUCAAGACGAAAAAGUAUGUGGAAAACAAUGUCUGCUCGACUUUGUUUCAUCUUUUCAAUGGGAACUUUCUCCUGCUAUAAAGCAUGCCAUUGAUCUUGUCAUUGCUUCACUAGAUAUGACAUUAAUUAUCCAUCUCUAAAUGUAGUACUUACACAAGCCAGCCAAAAUAGCUGUCCUAUUUUGUUGCACCACUUUUUCUGAAAGACAUUGUCGCACCCCUUGUUUGUGCAUCCAGUGUUAUAUAGAAAUUUACAGCUACAAUGAGGCACUGUGUUCGUCAGCCUAUGGAUGCAAUCUUUUUCUUAUCCAAAUUUUGGUAUAGCCAAAAGAUUCUACAUGGCCAUUAAUCCUGAAAAUACACACAUUGAAGAUACAUAUAGUAAUAAACAUGAACUAAAUGUUUGAUGUAUCUUGAUCAUUUCCUCUUGUUCCACAGUUAUUUUUCGAUUGGGUGGGCAAAUAAAUUCUGUUUCUUAAUUCAUGUGCCUAGUUUUUAAGCGGUAUGCAUGAGAGUUUGUUUGCAUCGUGCAUGCAAUUGCUAAGCAAUUUGUGCUUGAGAAAUAAUCUAGUAACAUUGAAUAUCUUUUGGUAUGAUAAUCUUAUUGUUUUCUUUUCCAGAGAAAACAAGAUAGACUGAAGAAAAUCGAAGAGAAAAAGGUGUAUUUACAACUGCAUGAAGCUAUGGAAGCUCUGGUUCACAUUUGCAGAGACGGGUGUCGAACAAUUGGGCCUCGUGACAAGAUGCUUAAAGCAAGCCAGGCAGAAUGUAGUUUCCCAGCAUGCAAGGGUCUGGAGACUCUGGUCCGUCAUUUCUCAAGUUGCAAAAUUAGAGUUCCUGGUGGAUGUGUCCAUUGCAAGCGAAUGUGGCAGCUUCUUGAACUUCAUUCACGCAUUUGUGAUGAACCUGACUAUUGCAAAGUUCCUCUUUGUAGGUAAGUAAAUAAUUUUUCGGGUGAUAUUUUGUUAGUGGGUGUCGAACAAUUGGGCCUCGUGACAAGGUGCUUAAAGCAAGCCAGGCGGCAUGUAGUUUCCCAGCAUGCAAGGGGCUGGAGACUCUGGUCCGUCAUUUCUCAAGUUGCAAAGUUAGAGUUCCUGGUGGAUGUGUCCAUUGCAAGCGAAUGUGGCAGCUUCUUGAGCUUCAUUCACGCAUUUGCGACGAACCUGACUAUUGCAAAGUUCCCCUUUGUAGGUAAGUAAAAUAAUUUUUCUGGUGAUAUUCUGUUAGCAGAAGAGCACUUAUGCAGAUGUUUAUUCAAGAAAGAAUUAAAAUACAUAUAAAGAGGCUUGCGAAACGGUAGAUUAUGACAUAUCAGUAAUCAGCUGUUGACAGAAACUGCUAGAACUGUUUUUUAAGGUUCGAUGCCUUAGUUUGACUUAAGCGGACCGACAUUUCAAACUAUUGUUAUACAACUAGAACUCUACCUCUAAAGCAUCUAGAUGAAGUCGGGUGAUGAAAGUCGAUAAGACAUCCAUUUCUUGCAGUAGUAGUGCUUCUCAGUUUUAGAAGAAAAACACCAGUUAAAGGGUGAUCCCUACUUUCUAUCGUUUGUAUCGGUCACUCAAUAUUUGGACAGAU
rnacentral:lncRNA from 1 species